rnacentral:rRNA from 1 species
GUGAGGAAUAUUGGACAAUGGGCGCAAGCCUGAUCCAGCCAUGCCGCGUGCAGGAAGACGCAUCUAUGGUGUGUAAACUGCUUUUGUACGGGAAGAAACACUCCCUCGUGAGGGAGCUUGACGGUACCGUAAGAAUAAGGAUCGGCUAACUCUGUGCCAGCAGCCGCGGUAAUACGGAGGAUCCAAGCGUUAUCCGGAAUCAUUGGGUUUAAAGGGUCCGUACGCGGUUUAAUACGUCAGUGGUGAAAGCCCAUCGCUCAACGAUGGAACGGCCAUAGAUACUGUUAGACUUGAAUUACAAGGAAGUAACUAGAAUAUGUAGUGUAGCGGUGAAAUGCUUAGAUAUUACAUGGAAUACCAAUUGCGAAGGCAGGUUACUACUUGUGGAUUGACGCUGAUGGACGAAAGCGUGGGGAGCGAACAGGAUUAGAAACCCGGGUAGUCC